GAGCAGAUGAUGAAGAUUUUAUUUUAUCUGAUAAUCCAUGAAGCUUCAAAUCGAGCUUUUAAAAUGAUGCUCA
rnacentral:snoRNA from 1 species